CAGUGGGGAAUUUUGGACAAUGGGGGAAACCCUGAUCCAGCCAUGCCGCGUGCAGGAUGAAGGCCUUCGGGUUGUAAACUGCUUUUGUACGGAACGAAAAGGUUCUCUCUAAUAAAGGGGGCUCAUGACGGUACCGUAAGAAUAAGCACCGGCUAACUACGUGCCAGCAGCCGCGGUAAUACGUAGGGUGCAAGCGUUAAUCGGAAUUACUGGGCGUAAAGCGUGCGCAGGCGGUGAUGUAAGACAGAUGUGAAAUCCCCGGGCUCAACCUGGGAACUGCAUUUGUGACUGCAUCGCUGGAGUGCGGCAGAGGGGGAUGGAAUUCCGCGUGUAGCAGUGAAAUGCGUAGAUAUGCGGAGGAACACCGAUGGCGAAGGCAAUCCCCUGGGCCUGCACUGACGCUCAUGCACGAAAGCGUGGGGAGCAAACAGGAUUAGA
rnacentral:rRNA from 1 species